UACGGAGGAUCCGAGCGUUAUCCGGAUUUAUUGGGUUUAAAGGGUGCGUAGGCUGUUUUUUAAGUUAGAGGUGAAAGCUCGACGCUCAACGUCGAAAUUGCCUCUGAUACUGAGAGACUAGAGUGUAGUUGCGGAAGGCGGAAUGUGUGGUGUAGCGGUGAAAUGCUUAGAUAUCACACAGAACACCGAUUGCGAAGGCAGCUUUCCAAGCUAUUACUGACGCUGAGGCACGAAAGCGUGGGGAGCGAACAGG
rnacentral:rRNA from 2 species